rnacentral:rRNA from 1 species
UACGAAGGGAGCUAGCGUUGUUCGGAAUCACUGGGCGUAAAGCGCACGUAGGCGGAUUUGCCAGUCAGGGGUGAAAUCCCGGAGCUCAACUCCGGAACUGCCCUUGAAACUGCAGUGCUAGAAUUCUGGAGAGGCGAGUGGAAUUCCGAGUGUAGAGGUGAAAUUCGUAGAUAUUCGGAAGAACACCAGUGGCGAAGGCGGCUCACUGGCCCGGUACUGACGCUGAGGUGCGAAAGCGUGGGGAGCAAACAGG